UACGGAGGGGGCUAGCGUUGUUCGGAAUUACUGGGCGUAAAGCGCGCGUAGGCGGACCUGCAAGUCGGGGGUGAAAGCCCGAGGCUCAACCUCGGAACUGCCUUCGAUACUGCGGGUCUCGAGUCCGGGAGAGGUGAGUGGAAUUCCUAGUGUAGAGGUGAAAUUCUUAGAUAUGACACAGAACACCAAUUGCGAAGGCAGCUCGCUAAACUGUAACUGACGCUGAGGCACGAAAGCGUGGGGAUCAAACAGG
rnacentral:rRNA from 1 species